rnacentral:rRNA from 1 species
GACGAACGCUGGCGGCGUGCUUAACACAUGCAAGUCGAACGGAAAGGCCCUGCUUUUGUGGGGUGCUCGAGUGGCGAACGGGUGAGUAACACGUGAGUAACCUGCCCUUGACUUUGGGAUAACUUCAGGAAACUGGGGCUAAUACCGGAUAGGAGCUCCAGCUGCAUGGUGGGGGUUGGAAAGUUUCGGCGGUUGGGGAUGGACUCGCGGCUUAUCAGCUUGUUGGUGGGGUAGUGGCUUACCAAGGCUUUGACGGGUAGCCGGCCUGAGAGGGUGACCGGCCACAUUGGGACUGAGAUACGGCCCAGACUCCUACGGGAGGCAGCAGUGGGGAAUAUUGCACAAUGGGCGGAAGCCUGAUGCAGCAACGCCGCGUGCGAGAUGACGGCCUUCGGGUUGUAAACCGCUUUCGCCUGUGACGAAGCGUGAGUGACGGUAAUGGGUAAAGAAGCACCGGCUAACUACGUG